rnacentral:lncRNA from 1 species
AGGAAGAGUCUACAGUCCAUGUAGGCCGCAUGUUGAAAGAAAAUCACUGUCUUGUUGCACUACACAUGUGUAAGCAUGAUAUAAAAAACAGUGGUAUACAACAGUUAUGUGAUGCACUGUAUCUGAACAGUAGCCUGCGCUACCUUGAUGUCAGCUGAAUAGAAAAUGCAGGCGCAAACUAUCUCAGUGAAACUCUUACUUCACACAACAGGAGUCUUAAAGCGUUGUCAGUAGUCAGCAACAACAUAGAGGGAGAAGGACUUGUUGCACUUUCACAAUCAAUGAAAACAAAUCUCACUUUCUCUCAUAUCUACAUUUGGGGAAACAAAUUUGAUGAGGCUACGUGUAUAGCAUAUUCAGACUUAAUUCAAAUGGGUUGUCUAAAACCAGACAAUACAGAUGUGGAGCCAUUUGUGGUAGAUGGACGUGUAUAUCUUGCAGAAGUCUCCAAUGGCCUUAAAAAGCAUUAUUAUUGGACAUCAACUUAUGGAGAAUCUUAUGACCACUCAUCUAAUGCAGGUUUUGCUCUUGUUCCAGUAGGUCAACAGCCAUGAAAAAGUAGCUGUAAAAUAAUUUUCAUACACUUGUCUUAUUGUUUCACAGAGAUUAAUAUUCUAUAGCCUAUUUUCUUUUAUAAAUUAAAACAAGUUACUUUUUUCAAAUGUGUAAAAGAUAAUGACUGUAUUAAACUUUGUAUAACU